UACGAAGGGGGCUAGCGUUGUUCGGAAUCACUGGGCGUAAAGCGCACGUGGGCGGAUUCUUAAGUCAGGGGUGAAAUGCCGAGGCUCAACCUCGGAACUGCCUUUGAUACUGGGGAUCUUGAGUCCGGGAGAGGUGAGUGGAACUGCGAGUGUAGAGGUGAAAUUCGUAGAUAUUCGCAGGAACACCAGUGGCGAAGGCGGCUCACUGGCCCGGAACUGACGCUGAGGUGCGAAAGCGUGGGGAGCAAACAGG
rnacentral:rRNA from 1 species